AAGUCGUAACAAGGUUUCCGUAGGUGAACCUGCGGAAGGAUCAUUAUUGAAGCUCGGAAUACGUGUUCGGUGCUGAUGCUGCCCAGCGAUGGGAUGUGCUCGCUCGGAUGCGUGUCCCUUCUCUAUUCCACCCCUUUGUGAACCCAAGUGUGCGAGCCGAUGAGAGAUCGGAAGCUCGCAUGCAAACCCUUAACAUACCCCAAUGAAGUAUCAGAAUGUAACUUGCGUUAACUCGCACAAAUACAACUUUCAACAACGGAUCUCUUGGCUCUC
rnacentral:misc_RNA from 1 species